rnacentral:rRNA from 1 species
AGUGAACGCUGGCGGUAGGCCUAACACAUGCAAGUCGAACGGCAGCACAGUAAGAGCUUGCUCUUACGGGUGGCGAGUGGCGGACGGGUGAGGAAUACAGCGGAAUCUACUUUUUCGUGGGGGAUAACGUAGGGAAACUUACGCUAAUACCGCAUACGACCUACGGGUGAAAGCAGGGGAUCUUCGGACCUUGCGCGAUUGAAUGAGCCGACGUCGGAUUAGCUAGUUGGCUGGUUAAAGGCCCACCAAGGCGACGAUCCGUAGCUGGUCUGAGAGGAUGAUCAGCCACACUGGAACUGCGACACGGUCCAGACUCCUACGGGAGGCAGCAGUGGGGAAUAUUGGACAAUGGGCGAAAGCCUGAUCCAGCCCUACCGCGUGGGUGAAGAAGGCCUUCGGGUUGUAAAGCCCUUUUGUUGGGAAAGAAAAGCAGUAGGUUAAUACCCCGAUGUUCUGACGGUACCCAAAGAAUAAGCACCGGCUAACUUCGUG